rnacentral:rRNA from 1 species
AGUGAACGCUGGCGGUAGGCCUAACACAUGCAAGUCGAACAGCAGCACAGUAAGAGCUUGCUCUUACGGGUGGCGAGUGGCGGACGGGUGAGGAAUACAUCGGAAUCUACUUUUUCGUGGGGGAUAACGUAGGGAAACUUACGCUAAUACCGCAUACGACCUACGGGUGAAAGCAGGGGAUCUUCGGACCUUGCGCGAUUGAAUGAGCCGAUGUCGGAUUAGCUAGUUGGCGGGGUAAAGGCCCACCAAGGCGACGAUCCGUAGCUGGUCUGAGAGGAUGAUCAGCCACACUGGAACUGAGACACGGUCCAGACUCCUACGGGAGGCAGCAGUGGGGAAUAUUGGACAAUGGGCGCAAGCCUGAUCCAGCCAUACCGCGUGGGUGAAGAAGGCCUUCGGGUUGUAAAGCCCUUUUGUUGGGAAAGAAAAGCAGCAGGUUAAUACCCCGCUGUUCUGACGGUACCCAAAGAAUAAGCACCGGCUAGCUUCGUG